UCCUCCGCUUAUUGAUAUGCUUAAGUUCAGCGGGUACUCCUACCUGAUCCGAGGUCAACCUUGGAAGAAUUGACCUUCAGAGGCUAUGGCCCCGGCCGGACCCCUCCUUGAGCGCGUGACAGAGCCCCAUACGCUCGAGGACCGGACGCGACGCCGCCGCUGCCUUUCAGGCCCGUCCCCUCCAAACGAGGGGACGGCGGCCCAACACACAAGCCGUGCUUGAGGGUUCGCAAUGACGCUCGGACAGGCAUGCCCCCCGGAAUAUCAGAGGGCGCAAUGUGCGUUCAAAGAUUCGAUGAUUCACGGAAUUCUGCAAUUCACAUUACUUAUCGCAUUUCGCUGCGUUCUUCAUCGAUGCCGGAACCAAGAGAUCCAUUGUUGAAAGUUUUGAACGAUUGCAUUUCGUCACUCAGACAAUCCUCGCAUUCACAAAAGCGUUCACAGUGAGUGCCUCUGGCGGGCACGGGCCCCGGGGGCACACCGCGCCCCGGGACGACCCCCCCGGCGGAACACCGGAGGAGUGGGCCCGCCAAAGCAACACUAGGUGUGGUAGACACGGGUGGGAGAUUGGGACCCGACUGGGUUCCCGCACUCGGUAAUGAUCCUUCCGCAAGGUUCACCUACGGA
rnacentral:misc_RNA from 1 species